rnacentral:rRNA from 1 species
UACGUAGGGGGCUAGCGUUGUCCGGAUUUACUGGGCGUAAAGGGCGCGUAGGCGGCCACCGCAAGUCGACUGUGAAAUCUCCGGGCUUAACCCGGAAAGGUCAGCCGAUACUGCGGGGCUAGAGUGCAGAAGGGGCAACUGGAAUUCUCGGUGUAGCGGUGAAAUGCGUAGAUAUCGAGAGGAACACCUGCGGCGAAGGCGGGUUGCUGGGCUGAUACUGACGCUGAGGCGCGAAAGCCAGGGGGAGCGAACGGGG